UGAAAGGCCCAACCACAGGGGUUUGAUCCAGCCAAGGGGAGUAUGAAGCAUCAAAUUGCUUGGACCUAAAUGGAGGUCCAAGGUGAAAGAUGAGAAACAGCACGGAGGCCUCAUGUAUCCUCCAUCAACUUCACAUGUUCAACAUCUUCCGCUCACCAGAAGAAAAGAAAAACAAGUCGUGGAGUCUUAGCCGCGCCGAUCACCGGCAGCGGCGAUGUCGCGCAGUGACGCGCUUCGAAGCGGACGCCUCAACCACGAUCUAAACCACAGUUCCAAAAGCAAUCAACGCGAAUGAAAGAAAGUCACCUACUGGCGAUGGAGAACACGGCGGAUGCGUCAACGACGUCCGCUUCGAAAACAAAGACGAAACACAAUUCGAAUUUGCAAUUUCUCGUUCUUCUGUUGAGAUUUGUUGCUCGAAUACUUUGGUUACAUUCGCGGACUUCUGUUCGCUACACGAGAACUCUAAAUGCCGUUGGAGCCUUUCGGUAACGUGCCUGUGCAACGAGAGAGGUGGCGAUUGGAUUCUUGUUGAUAGGUAGCAGAAGAAGCUUAAAGAAGAGUUUUGGUUAUGGAGGUUUAGCAGGUUGCAGAGUUUGUUAGAAGGAUUGCGGUUGAGAGUGGCCGUUGACGGUGGAUUACGGUUUUCUGUUAGCAAUGCGGUUACGGAAGAUUGAAGAAGAAAGAGAAGAAGAGUUUGUUGGAUGGUGAUUUUUUUCCAGAGGAAGAAGACAAAGUUUUGAAAGCCUUCGCUUCAAUUUAUAGAGUUAUGGGAUUGAUUUUCUGUUGCGUUCUCAUUCUGUUUUCGUUUACGCUGUUGCCGCAUGUUUCCUGGCUUAUGAGUUCAUGUCUCUUGCGCGUCUUAAGCCUUCCGCUGAGGUUUUGUUUUGCAGGUGGCUCACGUUGUAGCUUGGAGUUUUCAUGUCGUAGCUGCCGUUAAGUGGCUUACUUUGAGUUUUGGCUUUGUGCAGUGCACACGUGCUUGUAGCAGGUACUUGGAAGCCUUGCGCUGCAGUUCUGUUGUGGAAUAGCUGAGUUUAGCAGCUUGCAGCGUUUUGGCCUUGCGUACGGCUUGGAUGCUGGUUUGCUUUGAGUGUGUUGGCUUGUCGUUUCGGUUGUUUUGCUUGUAGUUUAGCUGCGUUUCUGUUUCAGCUUUGCAGCUUGUACCAUUGUGUUUCUGUUUCAGCUUUGCAUUGCAGUUUUGUUUUUCAUGCUGCGUUUAGCAGCCUGCAGCGUUUUGGCAUGUGUAGUUCACGCUGCUACUUUGCUUGUGUAGCGGUAGCAGCAGCAUUUGAACCCCUC